rnacentral:tRNA from 1 species
AUUUAAAUAGUUUAAUUAAAAUAUUGAUUUGUGGUGUCAAUGAUAUGAAAUAAGUUUCAUUUUAAAUC